rnacentral:rRNA from 1 species
AGUCAAUGUUCUUCGUGAACAUGGCAAACCGCUCAGUAACACGUGGAUAACCUACCCUAAGGACAGGAAUAACCCCGGGAAACUGGGGAUAAUACCUGAUAAAUUAGAGAUGCUGGAAUGCCCUCUAAUUGAAAGGCCCGCCGCCUUAGGAUGGAUCUGCGGCUCAUCAGGUAGUAGUGGGUGUAACGUACCUACUAGCCUACGACGAGUACGGGUUGUGAGAGCAAGAGCCCGGAGAUGGAUUCUGAGACACGAAUCCAGGCCCUAC